UUUUCUGUCCGUGUGUACGAACCUUUGUGCAUACGCACUCCCAAUUCGCCCUCCUCUGUUGAGUGCACCCGCACCCUAUGUGCAUCCGCAUUCCCUAAAUGCAACCCUUUCAUCUUCCCUUCUCUUGUCUUUUCCUUUCUUUUCUGUAUUCUCUGAGCCAACCCAUUCACCAUCAAUAAGCUUCAUCAUCCUCAUCCAUCUCUGUCUCGGACCAUUGCACCACCACCGGCGAUUGCCGCAGCCACUGUGCCCUUUCGCCUUUUUUCUUCCCCUUCUCUUCUUUAUCUUCCUCUGCGCCUCUACCAUCUCUCCCCGCGAUCACCAAACCGACCCCGUGCCACCGCUACUGCUGCGGCGAGCUCUCCACCCCCGUCUGAACCCUAACCCCUCCGUCCGUGUCAUUCAUCCUCACCUCCGCGUCACCAGCAUCACAGCCCAGGACCACCGUCGCCUUCCGUUUUCGCCGCCGACCACAACCCACACCGCCGCACCCCUUUCUUUUCUUCUUCCCCUCUUCUCACCUCAGCCAAGCCCAUACCCGCGACCCUCCUCUUUGCAGUACCCAAGCUUCACCCUGAACCAGCCUCCAGUCAUCGCGACAUUACCCUUCUCGCAACCUUCCCUUCCUCGCCGAACCUGUCUCCGCCUUCACACAGGAGCUCCAACCCCAGCUCCAUUCUCCAUAUUCUGUUUUGAAGGCCAGAACAAGGACUCCUAUCUCCCCUGUUUCUCUCUACUGCCUGGGACACACAGAAUAGGGCAAGCCCUUGUUUCCAUUAAGCUGCGUCCUGACCGCUGCCGCUUCUGCCUGCCCCACUGUUGAAGCCGCCACCUCUGGGCCGGCAUCCUUCUGCUUCUGACCCCCCCUGUUGCUCCAUCCCUCCACCUCUGCUGCUGUACAACCCUUGCUUCCCCUGUUUUUGCAUUUUUCUUUUCUGUUCUUCAAACAGCACCACCAUCGUUCUUGCAGCCAUUCUUUCACCCAAGACCCACCAGCAGAUGGAAGAGCCGAUGUAGUGAGGACUACUUCUACUCCGCCUGAUUUUGAGCACCGAGGACGGUGCUACAUCUUAAGUGUGGGGAGGUUGUCCAACUUCAGCAGCGCAUUUUGGGUGAAAAACUCCAUUUCCGAGCACUUUUAGUUUAGUUUAUUAUUAUGCUUUUUAGUUGUUUUGUAUAUAUUUUAUCCUUUUGAGAAACUUUUUACUUAGUUUAUUGCACUUUCUUAGUUUAUUGCACUUUUCAAUUUUGCUUGUAUAUAACCUAGUAUUAUGUUGUAGUAAAGCAUGUUUUUAGAUUUCCUUUUUUUAGCUUUUAGUUGUGAUUGUGAUUUGGGAUGAUAUGAUGAUUGCACCUAUGUUUGGUUUCUUAUAUACUUGCUAUUUUGGUUUGAUUGAAAUUAGGAAUUAAACUUAGGAUUUCUGACUUUUUCCAUCCAAUCACACUAUAUACAUAUAUAGAAUAAAUGUUAGCCAAUUUAAUGAAAUUUCUAAGAAACUUACUCUUUAUAUAGGGCAUUAAAAUUCAAAUUGAAUUGAGUUGAAAUUAUUUGAAACUUGCAUGAUUUUACAUUGUGGAAUAUGGUUUUUGAGUUAAAGAACAUACAACUUGUGAGCUUUUGAGUUUUAUUGUAUGGUAUAUCAUUUGACCACUUAUUUCAUUCUUAUGUGUUACUCUUCUCUAUGAUUGCAAUCUUUGAUUGCAAUCUUUGGUUUGUUUAAUUCUAUAUAUCCAAUAUUUAAUGUAUAUUUAUACAAUUAUGUGAUUGAGGCCAUUACUUCAUUAUAGCUCAUUUAACCCAAAAAGCCUACCAUUUUAUUUACCUUUGUUUAUGACUUUAAACCUUUUAAUUCCCUUUUGUUCUUGAUUGAGCACACCACUAGCUAUAAGUGGAAAAACAAUGAAUGUCCCUAUUUUGAAUCUUUGAAUAGCUCAAGUUAGUGAGAGUGUGUAGUGUUUAAGUGUGGGAAAAAUGUGGGAACUUGAGUUGAUGAAAAUGUGUUUUAUUCUUGUUGAAAAAUUUUGGAAAUUUGGGGUGCAUACUCAUGUAAUAUUAUAGAAACCAUAUGCAUCGAUGAGUUGGUAUAUAUAUUAUGUUCUCGAAAAAAAAGAAGAAAAAAAGAAAAAGAAAAAGAAAUAAUGAAAAGAAGACAAAAUUACCCCAAUGUGAAAUCUAAUAAAAAUCAAUGCAUAUGUGAUUGAAUUUGAUGCAUGAGUGUGUGUAUAUGUAAAAGUGAGAUUAUGGGUAGUUAAGCUUGAUAUUAGAAUUGUAUAGGUUGUGUAUGUCUUAGGUGAAAACUUAGGUUAAUUAAAGAUUCAAAUGUAAAAACCACCUAGCCAUAUAUAUAUCCUUACCUUUGCCCUUAGCUCCAUUACAACUUUGAAAAGACAUCAUGAUUUUUGCAUAUGUACAUUAAAUUUGUGUUGAUUGGUUAGAUGAAGAACACACUUUAGAAAGCAUGAUUAGAGAAGAAUUGAGUAGAUUGACCCUAAAUACUUGAGUGAUUAGAGUGCAUAUACAUAUCCAGUGAGUGUUCAAUCACUCAAUUCCAUAUUUCCACCUUUGAUCAUUGUUAUCUUGCAAGUUUGUUAAAUUCUUUUAUAUGACUCAAUUCAAUUGUGAAUGUGAUUUGGUUAUGAUUGCCUUAGCCCUUGAUUGUGUAUGGAUAUUUUCUUGGAAAUUGAUUUACUUGGACUAAUUAAAUACAUGUAACUAGUUAGAUAGUAUAGUUACAUACAUAUAGGUAGAUUGCAUAUAGUUAGUUACAUUGAAUAAUUGUUGAUUCCCCUUCUUAUCUUCUUUUGGUAUAGCAUGAGGACAUGCUAUUGUUUAAGUGUGGGGAUGUGAUGAAUCUACAUUUCACGGUAUUUAUUUGCUUUAAUUAGGUGGAUUUCAUUGACUUUUCUUACAUUUAUUCAUUGAAAUAACAUGUUUUUAUGAAUUCUUUCCUAAUUGUGCUUAAUUGUGAAAAACAUGCUUUUUAUGCUUAAAUUUUCAAUUUUAAUUCACUUUUCUCCCAUUUGAUGCCUUGAUAUAUUUUUCUGAGUGAUUUAAGGUUUUGAGGGCAAGAAUGGCUUGAGAAAGUGGAACGAAAGCAUAUAAAGUGGAAGAAUUCAAGAAAUGAAGGAUUUGUAAAGCUGUCUACUUGACCUCUCGGUACUAAAGUGAUCAAAACUUGAGCUACAGAGGUCCAAAUGAGGUGGUUUUAGCGGCAUUGGAAAGCUAACGUCCGGGACUUCAAAAUGAUAUACAAUUUACUAUAGUGGACAUAAGUCUAAGUGUGCGUACGCACACAAUUUGUGCGUAUGCACAAGUCGGAAUUCAGCAUGUGUGCGUAUGCGCAAGUCCUGGCACGUGAUGUCAUUAAUUCCAACUCGCUGGCAGUGAUUUCUGGGCCCCCAAAACCCAAUCUAACUCAUUUAUGAAGCUAUUUCAAGCCAAAUUGAAGAAGGAUGAAGGGGGGCAAUUAGGUUUAGCUUUUACAUGUUUUUCUCUUAGUUUCUAGAGAGAGAAGCUCCCUCCUACCUCUAGAAUUAGGGUUUCUUAGUUUAAUUUCUUGUAAUUUCUACUUAAAUUCUUGUUUCCAUUUACUUUUCCUUGUCAUUUAUUGAUAUUGCAUCUUUGUUUUUUCCUUU